rnacentral:rRNA from 1 species
UUGGGUGACGAGUGGCGGACGGGUGAGUAAUGUCUGGGGAUCUGCCCGAUAGAGGGGGAUAACCACUGGAAACGGUGGCUAAUACCGCAUAACGUCGCAAGACCAAAGAGGGGGACCUUCGGGCCUCUCACUAUCGGAUGAACCCAGAUGGGAUUAGCUAGUAGGCGGGGUAAUGGCCCACCUAGGCGACGAUCCCUAGCUGGUCUGAGAGGAUGACCAGCCACACUGGANCUGAGACACGGUCCAGACUCCUACGGGAGGCAGCAGUGGGGAAUAUUGCACAAUGGGCGCAAGCCUGAUGCAGCCAUGCCGCGUGUAUGAAGAAGGCCUUCGGGUUGUAAAGUACUUUCAGCGGGGAGGAAGGCG